rnacentral:rRNA from 1 species
AGUGAACGCUGGCGGUAGGCCUAACACAUGCGAGUCGAACGGCAGCACAGUAAGAGCUUGCUCUUACGGGUGGCGAGUGGCGGACGGGUGAGGAAUACAUCGGAAUCUACUUUUUCGUGGGGGAUAACGUAGGGAAACUUACGCUAAUACCGCAUACGACCUACGGGUGAAAGCAGGGGAUCUUCGGACCUUGCGCGAUUGAAUGAGCCGAUGUCGGAUUAGCUAGUUGGCGGGGUAAAGGCCCACCAAGGCGACGAUCCGUAGCUGGUCUGAGAGGAUGAUCAGCCACACUGGAACUGAGACACGGUCCAGACUCCUACGGGAGGCAGCAGUGGGGAAUAUUGGACAAUGGGCGCAAGCCUGAUCCAGCCAUACUGCGUGGGUGAAGAAGGCCUUCGGGUUGUAAAGCCCUUUUGUUGGGAAAGAAAAGCAGCAGGUUAAUACCCCACUGUUCUGACGGUACCCAAAGAAUAAGCACCGGCUAACUUCGUG